UGAAGUAUCAAAUAAUUGUAAAGAAUGAUUUCAUAAUCAUUUUGUAGUGAAUUCAGGAAGUAGGCCCGUCCGGGACUCAAACCAGGGUCCGGUAACUGUCAAGCCAAGACUUUAAUGGUAACGCCAAGAGGUCUGGGUUAAGGUUACUAUAUUACCACCUUCCUUCAGGAGAGUGUCCCCACACUUCUCUAUACCAAGUCUCUCUCAUGUGUACACGCCUCUCCGAUGGCCUCACGGGUACCAUCCCAAUUCACUAGGUGUGGGUUAAGGUCUCCUACAAUAUCGAUUUUCAAGUAUGUUUUCAUAUUUCAUACACACACAGCCUAAAGCACAUGGUAUCUAAUGUUACAAAUAUAUCCAGCCAGGGUCAAUUACUUAUUUUGUAAUUUGUUUGAAUAGCUUUUUGUGUGUUUGUUUUCUUGACAUGAAGGACUUGUGGUGGUUUGAUAUGAAGAACAUGAAGGACUUGAGGUGGUUUGAUAUGAAGAACAUGAAGGACUUGAGGUUGUUUGAUAUGAAGCACUUGAGGUGGUUUGAUAUGAAGGACUUGAGGUGGUUUGAUAUGAAGGACAAUAGGUGGUUUGAUAUGAAGGACAAUAGGUGGUUUGAUAUGAAAUACAUGAGGUGGUUUGAUAUGAAGGACAAGAGGUGGUUUGAUAUGAAGGACAAGAGGUGGUUUGAUAUGAAGGACAUGAGGUGGUUUGAUAUGAAGGACAAGAGGUGGUUUGAUAUGAAGGACUCACAUACAACCAAACUUUAUUUAGAUCAUGCUGGAUUAAUCUGAUUCUGUUCAUACUGUACUAGGCUACCUAAGGUCUAGUAUGCACUAAUGCAGUGGUUCCCAACCAUUCUUUUGUUACUGUACCACCAACUGAAUUUUGCUCUGCCUGGAGUACCCCUGAAGUACCCCCUCGUGUAUUUUACCAGUAGGGCUAUGGGCUCAUGAGUCUUCUCAAGUACCCCUGUGGAUAGACCAGGUACCCCCAGGGGUCCUAGUACCACUGGUUGGGAACCACUGCAGUAAUGAACUCUUAAAGUGGAUGUGAAUGAAGGAUAUGCCAGCAUGUACAUUAGCUAGUGUUGAGAUUUUAAGAUACUAUUUUAAAUGUAAAAAGAAAAAAAAAAAACAUCUGCAUUUUGUACUGCAAUGUACGUACUCGCACGCACACUCACUCAGGAAUUACAUACGACGUUAAUACACCUUUGUUACAUAUUUAUUGUGGAUAAUAUAUUUACUAUUUAGUCACGAUCUCAACAUCUCUGUUUUGAAUGGACAAUGCCUACUGGCAUCAUUGUUUACAGUCUGCUAAAAGUUUACUUCAGAGAUGUAUAUGAAGAAAAAACAUCUACAAUAUUGUAAAUAAAUGUGUAAAUAUGUAAUUUGGUUUACUUUGUGUUUUAUUUUCACUUAACAAUAACAGAUAUGGUGAAGAAAGCUAAAUACAUCUAAAAUGUUAAAUACAUCUUAAAUAAAAUAAAAUGUUAUUGGUCAC
rnacentral:lncRNA from 1 species